CUCUCGCACAUCACGGUAUCACAACACUUCCGCGGAACCAUAAAACUUAUAUUCUCUGCAUUCAGUGAUUGAGAACGUGAUACUCGUCAAUUAUUUCCCAAAAGUGUAUUAUGUUUUUAUUACAUUGCGAAGAGGACGAUUCGUUGCUCAUAUGUAACGAAUCGGAUGUGAUUUGUGAAAAUAACGUUGGAAAAGGAGACAGUGCAGUUUGUAUAUAAUAAAAAGAUAUAUCUUGGUACAGUAAUUGAGCACUCUGAAAAUGAGAAGAAAUUGGAAACACAUCUUACAAAACUGCGUUCUAAAAAACAAAAGCAGACAGAACAUUCAUCUCAGUCUAUUGUAGAAGGAAGACGACAUUCAGUUCAAAAUAAAAAAUACAAAGAUUAUAUCUUGCCAUCCGAUAAGAGGAAGAAAAAA